CAGGUAACAAACAAGAUGGCUUCUGCUGUGGCAGUAGAGCCUGAGAUGUCCCCCAUACAUGGUGCUUCACAUGAGGAUUCAGACCAAGAUGAUGCUUAUGCACAGAAGCCAGUGUGUACAAGGAGAGGAUUCAGAAGAUGAGGGCAGUGUGGCACCCCUAUUGGAAUGUACCUCAUCAUCUGCCCAAAACCAAGUGGUGUCAGCAAAAAUGAGAGAAGCCAGUGUGGCACAAGGCGAGGACUCAGAAGAUGAGGACAGUGCGGCAUCCCUGCAAGAAUGUACCUCAUCAUCUGCCCAAAACCAGAUGGUGUGAACAACAAAGAGAGGUAAACAAUCUGCUGUCAAAAGACGUUGGACGCCAGAGGAAUCUGCUGCAGUUUACAGACAUUUAAGGAAAUUCAUAGUGAGAAGCCAAGUUCCCGAAAAAGUGGACUGUGAGCACUGUAUUACUGCAGAACCUCAAGCACUAGGAAACAGAGACUGGAAAGCAGUAAAACACUUCAAGAAUCUUCUGCCAUCAGAAGAGAACUACAGUGAAUUGCUACUAGAUGUGAGCAGUGUGUGGAUUCUGCUUUAUUCAAACUGUACCCGCCAGGUAACACUAUCUAGACAGCUGCAUUUACAAACACAAACAGAUGAUGGAGUAAACAGAGCAGCCAUCUUAGUACCUUAAAAUGGCCAAUUUCCUGUUAAGAGAAUGUUCUGUUUGUUGUGGAAUGUUACAUAAGACUGCCAAGUUUUGUUCAUUCAUUAGGGUUAUGUCGUGUUAUGUCUGUGUUUCGUUGUCUCUCUGUCUCAUUCUCUUUCUAUGUCUGGUUCUGUCUCUAUGUCUCAUCUGUCUCAUCUCUCUCUCUCUGUCUCAUUCUCUUUCUAUGUCUGGUUCUGUCUCUAUGUCUCAUCUCUCUGUCUCGUCUCUCUCUCUCUGUCUCAUUCUCUUUCUAUGUGUGGUUCUGUCUCUAUGUCUCAUCUCUCUGUCUCGUCUCUCUCUCUCUGUCUCAUUCUCUUUCUAUGUCUGGUUCUGUCUCUGUCUCAUCUCUCUGUCUCGUCUCUCUCUCUCUGUCUCAUUCUCUUUCUAUGUGUGGUUCUGUCUCUCUGUCUCGUCUCUCUCUCUCUGUCUCUCUCUGUCUCUCUGUCUCCUUGUGUCUCUCUGUCACAUCUCUCUGUUUCAUUGUCUCUGUCUCAUCUCUGUCUCAUUAUCUCUCUGUCUCGUCUCUGUCUCCUUGUCUCUAUGUCUCAUUCUCUCUCUGUAUCUCGUCCUCUCUCUAUGUCUAGUUCUCUCUUUGUGUCUAAUGUCUGUCUCUCGUUCUCUGCCUGUGUCUCAUUCUCUCUCUGUAUCUCGUCCUCUCUCUAUGUCUAGUUCUCUCUUUGUGUCUAAUGUCUGUCUCUCGUUCUCUGCCUGUGUCUCAUUGUCUCUCUGUGUCUCCUCACUCUCUGUCUUGUUCUCUCUCGCUCCUGUUCCAGCUUCUGAUCAGUGAAUUCUGGCUCGAAAUAUUCAUCCAUUUUAAGUUCCUCUGGAGCUGAACACCUGAAAUUGUCUCAAGAAAGUUAUAUUAGGUUGUAGUUGUAAUUAAAAUAAUAAUGAAUUAAUUAAUUACUGCUUUUUGCAUUCAUUUGUCUU